CCUACGGGCGGCAGCAGUGAGGAAUAUUGGUCAAUGGGCGCGAGCCUGAACCAGCCAAGUAGCGUGAAGGAUGACGGCCCUACGGUUUGUAAACUUCUUUUAUAAGGGAAUAAAGUGAGGCACGUGUGCCUGUUUGUGUGUACUUUAUGAAUAAGGAUCGGCUAACUCCGUGCCAGCAGCCGCGGUAAUACGGAGGAUCCGAGCGUUGUCCGGAUUUAUUGGGUUUAAAGGGAGCGUAGAUGGGUUGUUAAGUCAGUUGUGAAAGUUUGGGGCUCAACCGUAAAAUUGCAUUUGAUACUGGCAGUCUUGAGUACAGGUGAGGUAGGCGGAAUUCGUGGUGUAGCGGUGAAAUGCUUAGAUAUCACGAAGAACUCCGAUUGCGAAGGCAGCUUGCUAAACUGCCACUGACGCUGAGGCUCGAAAGCGUGGGUAUCAAACAGGAUUAGAUACCCUAGUAGUC
rnacentral:rRNA from 1 species